AUUGAACGCUGGCGGAAUGCUUUACACAUGCAAGUCGAGCGGCAGCGCGGGGGCAACCCUGGCGGCGAGCGGCGAACGGGUGAGUAACAUAUCGGAACGUACCCCGUCGUGGGGGAUAACACAGCGAAAGCUGUGCUAAUACCGCAUACGACCUGAGGGUGAAAGCGGGGGAUCGCAAGACCUCGCGCGAUGGGAGCGGCCGAUAUCGGAUUAGCUUGUUGGUGAGGUAAAGGCUCACCAAGGCGACGAUCCGUAGCUGGUCUGAGAGGAUGAUCAGCCACACUGGGACUGAGACACGGCCCAGACUCCUACGGGAGGCAGCAGUGGGGAAUAUUGGACAAUGGGCGAAAGCCUGAUCCAGCAAUGCCGCGUGAGUGAUGAAGGCCUUAGGGUUGUAAAGCUCUUUUACCAGGGAUGAUAAUGACAGUACCUGGAGAAUAAGCUCCGGCUAACUCCGUGCCA
rnacentral:rRNA from 1 species